GAUGAACGCUGGCGGCGUGCCUAAUACAUGCAAGUCGAGCGAAUGGAUUAAGAGCUUGCUCUUAUGAAGUUAGCGGCGGACGGGUGAGUAACACGUGGGUAACCUGCCCAUAAGACUGGGAUAACUCCGGGAAACCGGGGCUAAUACCGGAUAACAUUUUGAACCGCAUGGUUCGAAAUUGAAAGGCGGCUUCGGCUGUCACUUAUGGAUGGACCCGCGUCGCAUUAGCUAGUUGGGGAGGUAACGGCUCACCAAGGCAACGAUGCGUAGCCGACCUGGGAGGGUGAUCGGCCACACUGGGACUGGAACACGGCCCAGACUCCUACGGGAGGCAGCAGUAGGGAAUCUUCCGCAAUGGACGAGAGUCUGACGGAGCAACGCCGCGUGAGUGAUGAAGGCUUUCGGGUCGUAAAACUCUGUUGUUAGGGAAGAACAAGUGCUAGUUGAAUAAGCUGGCACCUUGACGGUACCUAACCAGAAAGCCACGGCUAACUACGUGCCAGCCGCCGCCGUAA
rnacentral:rRNA from 1 species